UUUAUGGAGAAGAUAAGAUGUCCGAUGAUGGAAAAGUAGGGAACAGUGUGGUUGUAGAAGAAUAUGGAAUGAAUGAAUUAAUCGAAGUUGAAAAGAAAAAGAGUUAGGAAGAAAAUACAAGUAGUGGUGGUACAUUAGAAUGCGUUGGUGAGUUGUUCGAAAGCUCAAACAGUUGGCGUGCAUGAUGAGAGGCGUGGAUUUGGAGGGCCAGGAUGGAGAGAAGUGACGCAUGGAGGCGUGAUGGGCCUUGGGUGUGCCCAUCAACGCACACAGCCACUGCCAACAUCAACAACAACAAGAUACAUUAUUAUUUAAUGGGAAAGUGGCAGUGUUAAGCCAGUGUCAAGGGUUGCCAUUU
rnacentral:lncRNA from 1 species